rnacentral:rRNA from 1 species
UUUUUAAUGGUUGACCUCGGAUCAGGUAGGAAUACCCGCUGAACUUAAGCAUAUCAAUAGGCGGAGGAACAA